UUCGAUAUGGCUCAGAUUGAACGCUGGCGGGAUGCUUUACACAUGCAAAUUCGAACGGCAGCACGGACUUCGGUCUGGUGGCGAGUGGCGAACGGGGGUGAGUAAUGUAUCGGAACGUGCCUAGUAGCGGGGGAUAACUACGCGAAAGCGUAGCUAAUACAUACGCCCUUCGGGGAAAGCUGAGGCCUUCGGGCCUCGCAUAUUAGAGCGGCCGAUAUCGGAUUAGCUAGUUGGUGGGGUAACGGCUCACCAAGGCGACGAUCCGUAGCUGGUUUGAGAGGACGACCAGCCACACUGGGACUGAGACACGGCCCAGACUCCUACAGGAGGCAGCAGUGGGGAAUUUUGGACAAUGGGGGGAAACCCUGAUCCAGCCAUCCCGCGUGUGCGAUGAAGGCCUUCCGGGUUUAGCAAGCACUUUUGGCAGGAAAGAAACGGCACAGGAUAAUACCCCGUGCAGCUGACGAACACCUGCAGAAUAAGCACCGGCUAACUACGUGCCAGCAGCCGCGGUAAUACGUAGGGUGCAAGCGUUAAUCGGGAAUUACUGGGCGUAAAGCGUGCGCAGGCGGUUCAGGAAGAAAGAUGUGAAAUCCAGAGCUUAACUUUGGAACUGCAUUUUUAACUACAAAGCUGAAGUGUGUCCAGAGGAGGCGAAGACCGCGUGUAGCAGUAGAAAUGCGUGAAUGUGCGGAGGAGGAACACCAGUCGGCGAAGGCAACCUCCUGGGGAUAUUUCACUAAAACGCUCAUGCACAGCGUGGGAGCAAACAGGAUUAGAUACCCUGGUGUCCACGCCCUAAACGAUGUCAACUAGCUCAUUGGGACCUUUGGGCCUUGGUAAGCGCAGCUUCAACGCGACGAAGUUGACCGCCUGGGAGUACGGUCGCAAGAUUAAAACUCGAGAAUUGACGGGGACCCGCACAAGCGGUGAUGAUGUGGAUUAAUUCGAUACAGCACGAAAAAACCUUACCUACCCUUGACAUGUCUGGAAUCCGAAGAUUUGAAGUGCUCCGCAAGAGAACCGGAACACAGGUGCUGCAUGGCUGUCGUCAGCUCGUGUCAUUGAGAUGUUGGGUUAAGUCCCGCAACGAGCGCAACCCUUGUCAUUAGUUGCUACGAAGGCACUCUAAUGAGACUGCCGGUGACAAACCGGAGGAAGGUGGGGACGGUAUCAGUCCUCAUGGCCCUUAUGGGUAGGGCUUUACCCCGUCAUACAAUGGUCGGGACAGAGGGUCGCCAACCCGCGAAAGGGGAGCCAAUCUGACCGAUCGUAGUCCGGAUCGCAGUCUGCAACUCGACUGCAUGGGGUCGAAUCGCUAGUAAUCGCGGAUCAGCGUAAUAUUAUGAUGAAUACGUUCCCGGGUCUUGUACACACCGCCCGUCGCACCAUGGGAGUGGGUUUUUUACCAAGUAGUUAACCUAACCAUACAGGAGGCGAUUACCACGAUAGGAUUCAUGACUGGGGUGAAGUCAUACUGGUAG
rnacentral:rRNA from 1 species